rnacentral:rRNA from 1 species
UGGGGAAUAUUGCACAAUGGGCGCAAGCCUGAUGCAGCCAUGCCGCGUGUGUGAAGAAGGCCUCGGUUGUAAAGCACUUCAGCGAGGAGGAAGGUGGUGAGCUUAAUACGCUCAUCAAUUGACGUUACUCGCAGAAGAAGCACCGGCUAACUCCGUGCCAGCAGCCGCGGUAAUACGGAGGGUGCAAGCGUUAAUCGGAAUUACUGGGCGUAAAGCGCACGCAGGCGGUUUGUUAAGUCAGAUGUGAAAUCCCCGGGGCUCAACCUGGGAACUGCAUUUGAAACUGGCAAGCUAGAGUCUCGUAGAGGGGGGCUAGAAUUUCCAGGUGUAGCGGUGAAAUGCGUAGAGAUCUGGAGGAAUACCGGUGGCGAAGGCGGCCCCCUGGA